UACGAGGGGGGCGAGCGUUUUCCGGAAUGAUUGGGCGUAAAGGGUUCGUAGGUGGUAUUAUGGUAGCUAUUAAUAAAAGACUAGGGCAAAACCCUAGGAAUGUUUUUAGAACACUCUUACUUGAGGGUAACAGAGGUUAGUAGAAUUUCAUAUUAAGGGGUGGAAUCCGUCGAGAUAUGAAGGAAUGCCAAUGGCGAAAGCAACUAACUGGGUUACAUCUGACGCUGAGGAACGAAAGCGUGGGGAGCAAACAGG
rnacentral:rRNA from 1 species